rnacentral:lncRNA from 1 species
CUCUGCCGCUCAUGAAGUUGCAUUGCUUAGGAGUAGUAGUGCUGCUCAUGGAGUAGCAAUGUCAUGUUCUCAUGGGGAGCUCACUGUUUUGAUGGCUUUUGUGACCCAUUUAUUUCUUUGGGUUCUUAUAUACCCUAAAAACUUUUCCAAAGCAUCCAAUAGUUGGUUGUGAUGUUUUUGGUGUGAGCAUUUUUCGUUCCUAUUCGAGUAGAGUGCUUGAUUUUUGGACUUUGGGAUCUUUAACUUCUGCACCGAUUUUUGAUGAUUCAAGUUCUUUGCUAUGUUCAUCGGUCAUCACUGAGAACAUUCAAUCAUUUGGGGGUUCGAGAACAUCUUGUUUGUGAGUUUUGUUGUUUUGAGGGUGUAAAAUAUAUAUACCAAGGGUGUCCCAAGAUACUUCAACAACCAAAACCCUGACAGGUGGGUUUGAGCAUUUGGCCACAUUAUUUAGGAGCUCGACCCACAUGCCAGGAAUGGUGGAGGCACAAGAUCUUAUCAAAUUAGUAGAUAAGGUCGAUAUCCAUGUAAUACGGUAGAGCCUGGUUGUCAGAAGAAACCUACAUGUAAAAUAUAGAACUAAGGAUCCUAGUUAGGUCCAAUUAGGGAGACAUAUAACUGACUAUGUAUCCUCAUCUGAUAUGUAUCCUUCGAGUAUGACACCAAAUAACUUUCAUGUAAUGGCCCCUUCCUUGGAUAAUAGGAGGGAUGACGUGGCCCAAGAAAGUAGAUCAUCACAUCAUAAGUGUUGGGGACUUGUUCUCAAAUGCUAUGAAUUAAGAACAAGGCAACAUAAAAUGUUAAAUAUCAAAGCCCUUCGUCCUUCGAAGCAUUAUUUCCCCUUGGAUAUAAUGGAUUUCGGACGAAGGUUAUGAAGGUCACACCUUCAUAAUCAUAAUAAAAGAUAAGAAAGAUGUAUACAUAAAACACAGAAAAUAACAUGAUUACCUUUUAACAUUAUUAUUAAUUUAUUUCUAUUUAUUUUACUUAUAUAGACAACAACAAAUUACAAAUGUACCUUCGGCUUGAAGGAAAGUAAGGGUACAAGCGUGAUGCCAAUGCCAAGUCAGCGUGAACAGUACGGGAGUACUGUUCAUCUAUUUAUAGGCACGGGACGCAGCCCAUGUAAAAGUACAUUAAUGCCCUUUGCUUUUAUCAAUAACUCUAUAGUAAUUCUCCGAGGUCUAAUUUGGCUUUUCAUCUUUAAGUCGGUUCCCUUUUCUGCUGUCAUGCCGAAGCUUUUCUGCACAUAGCUUCGUGAUCGUUUCAUCCUUCGUCAUGAUCGUCUUCCAUUUCAGUCAAGCUUCGUCUUGACCAUGCUCUUGUAUGCCCACAACCUGAUUCCGAAGAUACCUGUUCGCAUACUUGGAAAAUACUGUCAAAUCAUGUUUUUGAGGACCUUCGGAAGCCGAAGGCCCCCAACAGUAGCCCCUCGCGAUAUUAAUUUGCUGGAACGAUAAAUUUAUAUUGCGACUUGGACGAAGGCUUUAAGCCGAAGGUCCGAAAAAACACCUUCCCUUUGCUAGAAUAGCAACAGUCUUUGACAAGCGGGACCCUCCAGUGUCAACGCACUGGGUGUAUAAAUAAGAGCUCACCACGAGUUUAUUUGGCACGCUCUCUUGCCAUCUGCUUUUACUCACCCAAUUUUUAGCCUGCUUGCCACAACACUUGCUUGGGUUUUUAGGUUUUUAAGCUUCGGUUUCGAGGUCACUUUCUCAGCAUUCUUGAAGAUGUCUGAAGAUAAAAAAGUUGUUGGUGAUUCGAAGCUAAGCCUUUCUGAGGAGAUGCAUUUGGGCUUUCUUGAAUCAAUAGCAAGAACAAAUAUAGAGAAAAUUACUAGGGAAAUUUUGGAAGGCUUAUCUGAAGAUACUGGUGCAAGUGAUAGUUAUGAUGCGGACAGCGGAGGUGAAGAUUCCGAAGAUCGACCAUGGCGACCAAGCCAUUCAGUCUUCGGAAAAUCAACUAUUGAACAAAGUCACCUUGAAAACAUGAGGGGAAGAUAUUUUCGAGAUAUGUCCAUCGUGAGGGCAGAUGACGGAGAGAAGACUCUGCCGACUCCCGAAGAUAAUGAGGUCGUGAUCUUCCGAAGCUUUUUUAAAGUCGGGCUGCGAUAACCUUUAAGCAAACUUGUGGUUGAAGUUCUGAAAACAUAUCAGGUUUAUCUUCAUCAACUUACCCCUGAAGCAAUAAUAAGAAUGGGAGUCUUCGUCUGGGCCGUGAAGAGCCAGGGACUGGAGCCAAGUGCGAAAAGCUUUUGCAAUAUACAUGAGUUAGUAUAUGAGACGAAGCCCUGGGGUAAGGAGCAAUAUCAUAACAAUUUUGGUUGUUAUAGCUUCGGUGCCCGCUCUGGAUCAAGCUGUCCCGUGCCAACUUUUCGGAAGAGAUGGCCCGGGGAAUGGAUGAAGGAAUGGUUUUAUGUAAAAAAUGAUUUAAAAGUUCGAGAAGAUAUUAAAGAUAUCAUCAUGUGCCCUAUCUGGCAAAGCUUCGGACUCCAGAAACCGAAGGUGGAAAUGGAUGAAGCAGCCAAAGAAUGUCAGAAGGCCUUCGGCGUAGUCUGCUCUUUUAUUGGGACAAGGGAUUUAAUGCAAGAACAUAUUGCCUUCAGAGUAUGGCCACUUGCAGAUAACUGGGAAAUGCCGAAGGAAACCGUUAAAGAAACUGACGAAGGUGGAUUAGUCAGGCUGAAAUACACAUUCAAGUAUGGCGAUAAAUUCGUUGAACCAGAUGAUGAUUGGCUAAAAAGCAUUGAGACUGUAAGUGAUGAAUUGCUUGGGGUAUACUCAAAGGCUGAAGAUACUGCACUAUCAGCGGCCUUCGGAGGCCGAAAGAAGAAAAGACUCAACCGAGUAUUUGACGCAAUUGGGUUUGUCUGUCCCGACUACCGUUAUCCAGCGCGUGGUCAAAAAAGAAAAAAUACGACUUCUGCAAAAGAAACUGUUUCAGCCGCUCCUAGCGAGCCGGCGCCGAAGAGAAAAAGGGUAAAGGUUCUCACACACCGGCCACGUUAUAUUGAACCGGCCAUAGUGCCUAAGUUUGUCGGUGAAACCUCUUCGGCCACCGAAGCAAAAGAACCCGCGCUGCUGCCAGAAAUUGAAGAGCUGGCCGAAGUGCCGACGACAGAAAAGAUAGAAAAACCGGAGACUGAAGAAGCAAAAACAUCGAAAAUUUUAAGUCCUUCAGCAGAAAUCGAAGUAGCAGAAAGUCAAAAGGGGCCAACAGUGACCCCGGAAAGAAAAAGAAUGGUUAAUGUGUUGGAUGUUUUGGAGACGAUUAAAUCUUCAAGCAUAACUCCGAAGAAAACUGUCGAAACUUCUGAAGUGCCUACUGAAGCCUUUGUUGCUGAAGCUUCGAAGCAACAAUCUGAAAUUGAAACCGGGCCUUCAGAGCCCGACAAGGUGGAAUCCUUGGAAGCCGAAAAAGAAGAAAUGACAGAACAAAUUUUGGCUGAAGAAACUGGCACUGCUGCCCCCGAAGCAUCUUCCAAAGUACUUGAUUAUAUUGUACGACAUGCCUCGGGGAAGAAAUUAUCUGAAGAAGAGAUUUUUGAAGCUAAUCACUAUGCCCGAGAACUGAAGUAUCCGGAAGGGGCCUUAGUAUUCAAUGGCUCGGACGAAGAUGACUUCUUAUACUGUCUCCCGGACAACAAAGAAUUAUCUGUCUGCCGGGAGAUGGCUAGAAGUAUGGGGUUUCCGAAGCUUGAAGCUGGCCUCUGCGCUAUGACGAAGGACGAUCUUGCCGAUAGCCUUGCAUAUAAUAGUCUGAAGGUAUGAGAACUGUAUAUUUGGAAAUUUAUAAUUUUUGAAUCAUUCUUUUAUCCUUAUACUAAUUCUUUUCAUAUAGGGUUUAAUACUUAGCAAUGCUCUGAGAGCGCAAAAGAAUGCCGAAGACGAGAGCUAUAACAUUGCUUUCAACAACCUACGAACAGAGGUCAUCAAGCUGAGGAACGAAGCUUUGGAAAAGGAUAAAAUUCUGCUUACAUUGGUUGAUAAAAUAAAGGAAGACGAAGCUACCUCUAAGGCUCAAGCUGAAGCCCAAAAACGCGAAAUCAAGGAUCUUCGGAAACAGCUAGCCAGAGCUAAAGAAGAACGUAUACUUGAAGAGACAAAACGAGAGCUUAGUGAUCAAUGGGCAAAUCAUUUGGAAAUAAACGUUGAAGAGCUUCGUGCCUCCAAGAAAAGGUGCUAUGACAAAUCCAUAGAAUGUGUUAAGAAAGUAAAAUCCAGCUUCGCCAGCGUCGGUGCAUUCUCUAGCGAAGAAAAUUUUACAAGAGGUAAUCCAGAAGGCCCGAUUGAAUGGAUUAGUCAUGAAGCUGAGGCCUUCGAGGAAAUUUUGAAUAGCCGCGGAGAUAUAUGUGCUUUUUCGAGCGCCAGGGGGAUUGCUACUGUUUUAGAGAAGAAAGGCUGCGAACAUGUAAAAUCUUUAGCGCAGUCCGAAGCUACUUUAUCCUUCGAAGAUAUUAAAGACCCCUCAGCCGAAGCAAGCAUGGUUGGUGGAAAAUUUUUCACCGAUAUCUGGGACAACGGCGGCCGAGAAAUGACCCAAGAAAUUAUUCAAAAAAGCGAAAAAGGCAUCCAUGAUGCUAGAAAGGUAGCAGAGGCUGCUGAGAAAAGUGCAGAGCCCGAAGGGCGAAUAGGUAUUAAUUAGUGGUUUUUAUUGUGUUGUAAUUUUUGAUUUCAAACUUUGUUCGCGGUUUGUAAUAGUAAUAUAGUCGUAUCUUCUCCUCCCUCAGAACCUGCUGAAGCAUCUCCGGGCCCCCACCCAAAGGGGGACGACGAAAUUAGAAAAAUUGCCGAAGCCAUCAUGGACAAGGUUGUCGAUCAGCUACUGAACGAAGCUGCAGAAGUAGUUCUUAGGGAAGAUUAAAUGUUAUUGUAAAAACAUUUGGGAUGUAACAUGUGUAAUACCUUGUAACUUUGAAUGUAAUAUAUAAUCUAUUUAUGGUUCAAUUCUUUACGAUGCAUGAAAUUUUGCAUACAUACCAUUUUUUGAGCCUUCGGCGAAAAAAAACACCUUCUCUUCUUUUCAUGCUUCGUGAAGAAAAUCUUUUAUAUAUCACAAGAAUUUCCAUACUUCCCUGAUGAAGAAUAUCCAAGCUUCGUGAAAACAGUCUCCGAAGCUAUAAAAAAGUUUUAUGUUGUCUCUCCAAUGAAGCUACACUUCUUCUCAAUUUAUCUUGUGCCUUAGCGAGAUUUUCUCUUUUUCAAAACAUUCUCCGAAUAUGAAUACUGUAUCCCCUUCUCGUUCCACAUGCAAUAUGUUGUAUGAUGCUUAUGUUAUGCAAAAUGAUGUGAUGAUGUUAUGUUAUGCAAAAUGAUAUUUGUGCCGAAGAUACACACAUCCCUGCAAUAGAGCACACAAUCUUUUUAUAUCAGCGCUGACUUUUCGUUGUAAGCCUCCCUUAGGAGCUUCUUCGCCUUUUACUUCAGCGGAAUCAGCGUUUAUUUUUCGCUGUAAGCCUCCCUUAGGAGCUUCUUCGCCUUUUACUUUCAGCGGAAUCAGCGUUUAUUUUUCGCUGUAAGCCUCCCUUAGGAGCUUCUUCGCCUUUUACUUUCAGCGGAAUCAGCGCUUAUUUUUCGCUGUAGGCUCAGAAAACUUACACUGCACUCCCUUAGGAACGACUUUUUACUGCUUCGAAUAAAUUGCACUGUGUCCCUGGAACAAAUUUUUGAUAAUUCAAAGGUCCUUCGUGCCAUCAUAAAUUCUUGUGCUUCAGCGACUCAAGCCUAUGGAGAAGAUAUAUUUUCAUUAUGACAAAGGACGAAACUGUUACAAGAAAUUGAAAAACGAUAAAAGACACUUAGACUUCCCAUAAUUGUUCCUUAUUAACAAAAAAGUAAUACUGAAUGUGAAAAUGCGAAAAAAAACUGCUAUCGAGGUAGGAUAUCUGUCAGUAAAUGUGCUUCGACUCUGGCACAGUGCUAUUGACUGUGCGAGCUUCGGACUCUUCUCUGAAGUCCCUUUGAAGGUGAGUGUGCAGACUCCCUUCUGGCUGCUGACCUCGCUGCGUUGGUGGUGGCAGUGGAGGCUGUUGCCAAGAUGCUUGGGGUUGACUUGCCGAAGCAACAGAAGCUGCAGAGUGAUUGCCUACAUAUUCUGGAAUGUAAGGCGAAUGGUACGAAGCAGUGUGCAUGACCUGCUUCGGCUGACUCUGUUGUGCUGCAGCUUCUGCUAUCUCCUUUUGCUUCUGGAUGGUGACAUGGCACAUCCUGGUGGUAUGGCCCUUAUCUUCACCACAGAAUAGGCAGUAAAUUCUUCUUGGCUGAUCCCCAAAUCUUCCCCCGAAGCCCCUCGCGCCUCUGCCCCUUGGCGCUGGCGGCCGAACAGAGCUUUGCUGUUGCCCCGAAGCUUGUGAAGAGUAUUGUGGCCUUUGCUGUUGGCUCCCUCUAUCAUCACUUUGAGUGGAGUUGUGAAUUGACCUGACGUGCCUCGGAUGAAAUCUUCCUCCGAAGCCCCUGGUCAUUUCGGAGAACCUGAAUGCCUCCUCCCUUCUUUGGCAAAAGUCAUUGUCAGCUCGGAUAUACUCGUCCAUCUUCUGGAGCAGCUUCUCCAAAGUUUGUGGUGGCUUCCUGGCAAAGUAUUGCGCUGAAGGUCCCAGCCGAAGUCCCUUAAUCAUGGCCUCAAUGACAAUUUCAUUGGGCACUGUUGGCGCCUGUGCCCUUAGACGCAGAAACCUUCGGACAUACGCCUGAAGGUAUUCUUCGUGGUCCUGUGUACACUGGAAUAAUGCUUGAGCGGUAACUGGCUUCGUCUGAAACCCUUGGAAGCUGGUUAUCAACAUAUCCUUCAGCUUCUGCCAUGAAGUAAUUGUCCCUGGCCGAAGAGAGGAGUACCAGGUUUGAGCGACACUCUUGACGGCCAUGACAAAAGACUUUGCCAUGACUGCAGUAUUGCCACCAUACGAAGAUAUGGUUGCUUCAUAGCUCAUCAAGAAUUGCUUCGGGUCUGUAUGACCGUCGUACAUGGGGAGCUGGGGUGGCUUGUAAGACUGGGGCCAUGGUGUAGCCUGCAAUUCUGUUGAUAGAGGAGAAGCAUCAUCAAAAGCAAAAUUUCCAUGAUGGAAAUCUUCAUACCAGUCGUCCUCAUUGUAGAAGCCUUCCUGAUGAAGCUCUCUGCGCGGAGGUCUUCGGUUCCGGUCAUCUUGAGCAAGAUGACGAACCUCUUCCGAAGCUUCAUCUAUUUGCCUCUGAAGGUCAGCUAGACGAGCCAUCUUCUCCUUCUUUCGUUGCACCUGUUGCUGAAGCAUCUCCAGGUUUUGGAUUUCCUGGUCCAAUUCGUCCUCCGGAGGCGUUGGGCUGGCGACCUUCCUCUUCUGGCUUUGGGCCUCCCUAAGAGAAAGGACAUCCUGAUUGGGGUCCAGCGGCUGCAGAGUGGCAGCCCCUGUCGCUGAAGCUUUUUUCGGCGGCAUGACGAAGGUGAUGCUUGCCGAAGGUGUUCAAAGCUCAAGAAAUGGAAGUGAGUUCACCGGAGGUGGGCGCCAAUGUUGGGGACUUGUUCUCAAAUGCUAUGAAUUAAGAACAAGGCAACAUAAAAUGUUAAAUAUCAAAGCCCUUCGUCCUUCGAAGCAUUAUUUCCCCUUGGAUAUAAUGGAUUUCGGACGAAGGUUAUGAAGGUCACACCUUCAUAAUCAUAAUAAAAGAUAAGAAAGAUGUAUACAUAAAACACGGAAAAUAACAUGAUUACCUUUUAACAUUAUUAUUAAUUUAUUUCUAUUUAUUUUACU